CUGUCCUAAAUUAGAGGACAGGUUUGCUUUGGAAAUCCUAUAUGCAUCACACUCUGUUACAGAAAGUUGGCUUUAACAGCAAAUCUCUUGCAGCAGGGUGUCACUUCACUUCCACAGAUUACUUGAAAUGCUUUAUUAAUUCGAUGACCUUGUGGGCUCUCAGAAAAAAAACAUUUCUCAGUGUUUUGGGGAAAGAGAGCUUCUCUGAGCUAAAGGGACUGUUUUGUUGCACAGAUUUAUUGCUUGGCUGACUUAAUUCACCAUUCAAAGACGAUGAUUUUUAGCUGCUGGGCAGUGGGCCUUGCAAUGUUGAAACUAAUUAACUGCUAGGACUCUUCUGAGCAAGGCUGUUUUCUUACUGGGUUUUGGCUUUUUUUUAACCCACAGAAAUGAAGCAAGCACGAUCCUUGGAACACAGGUUGCAUGGAUACAAUAUCAGCACAGACACAGCCCGGUGCUGGAUGACUCCGUGUCAAAGGAAGAAAGGCUUCCAGCUGUCCCCACUGCCGGCGUGACACCACACAAAGAAGUGAAAAUCAAAGGUUUAUCAGCCGACACCAGCAAGCAUGAAAUACUUCCCCAACACACAGCUCCGUGCUGGAAUCACAGCUCAAAACCAGAUGGGAAGGCAGAAGCUGAGCACUCACCUCUCCCCAUCCCCAGGUCCCCUGCUGGGACACAGGCAGGGGCAGGCAGCCCAGAGCCAGCAGCAUCUCCCAGCUGGGCAAGGAGCAGGCAGUGAAGCAGACCUGUGUGAGCAAGAUCUCAUCCUCCAAGAGAUGAUGGACACAGGAAUGGCUCAGUUAUUUGGAAAAAGGCAACAUUGAUCCUCAUCCCAAAGGCUUCUUUGCAGCACUCCAGAUGUGCCUGACAUUCUGCUUCAGCACCAAGAGAUACCAGCUCUUGCUUAAAAAACCUCCAGAAGCUGAUGGCAAAAAGAGCGCAGCACAGAGACCCUGCAAUAAUCCCUGGUGAAAGAGGAGAGAGGAGAGAGGGGAGAGGGAGAGGAGA